CAAAAUUCACACCACCUAAUUCCGUCACUUCCCCUAAAAGCUAACCAGAGCUCAAUCGGAGAUAGAGAAAAACAAAAUGAGUGAAGAAGCCAAAAAGAGCAUUGCCGGACCUCUAACGGUGAGGCCUAACACCGAUGACCGGAAACCGUCACCGUUACCGGCCGUCCCUCUGAAGAAGGUCAUCAUCAAGAGCGCCGACAUGAUUCCCGACAUGCAGAAGGAGGCGGUUGACAUCGCUGUUGCCGCCUUUGAGAAGUACAAUGUAGAGAAAGAUGUUGCGGAGCAGGUAAAGAAGGAGUUCGAUAAGAGGCACGGCCCCACUUGGCAUUGCAUCGUUGGUCGUAAUUUUGGGACAAAUGCUCCCUGAUAUUUCAAGUUAGUGUCCUAUGAUUUUGGUCCCUCAAAAUUUAUAAUAACCAGGCUCCUACGUGACUCAUGAAACAAACCACUUUGUUUAUUUCUAUUUGGAUCAGAAAGCGGUUUUACUUUUUAAGUCUGGAUAGUCCAAUUGUGGUGGCAAAGAAGAUGACAGCAAUGAGAUUUGUCUUGUGAUUAUGCUGAUGUAUUCAGUCCUCCAUGUAUCAUUGUGCUUGUAUAUUUGAUGUCAUGUAAACUAGUUCUCGGUUUGGAUAUGAACUUAAGGAUCACUUCAUUUUGAGAUUAGUGUUCUUUUCUUCUCAGGAAAUUUUUAAGAAGAAAAUAUUAAUUAGAGAAAUGAUUUCUGAUGCAUGUAAUAAUAUUUUCGGAGAUAUUGUUUCAUGGACUAUUUUUUUUUUUCA